rnacentral:rRNA from 1 species
UACGUAGGGUGCGAGCGUUAAUCGGAAUUACUGGGCGUAAAGCGUGCGCAGGCGGUUCGUCGUGUCUGAUGUGAAAGCCCCGGGCUCAACCUGGGAAUGGCAUUGGAAACUGGCGGACUAGAGUGUGGCAGAGGGGGGUGGAAUUCCGCGUGUAGCAGUGAAAUGCGUAGAGAUGUGGAGGAACACCGAUGGCGAAGGCAGCCCCCUGGGUUAACACUGACGCUCAGGCACGAAAGCGUGGGGAGCAAACAGG